GUCACCCGGGAAACGGGACGCGAUCGCCUGCCCACCGACCGAAGCUAUUUUCAUGGCAGCCUCGAAGAAAGCUGUUUUGGGGCCGUUGGUGGGAGCAGUGGACCAGGGCACCAGCUCGACGCGCUUUUUGGUUUUCAAUUCAAAAACAGCCGAACUACUUAGUCAUCAUCAAGUGGAAAUAGAACAAAAAUUUCCAAAAGAAGGGUGGGUGGAACAAGACCCUAAGGAAAUCCUGCAGUCCGUCUAUGAGUGUAUAGAGAAAACGUGUGAGAAACUUGGUCAGCUCAAUAUUGAUAUUUCCAACAUAAAAGCUAUUGGUGUCAGUAACCAGAGGGAAACCACUGUGGUCUGGGACAAGUUAACUGGAGAACCCCUCUACAAUGCUGUGGUGUGGCUUGAUCUAAGAACCCAGUCUACCGUUGCGAACCUUAGUAAAAUCAUUCCAGUGAAUAAUAACUUUGUCAAGACCAAGACAGGCCUUCCACUCAGCACGUACUUCAGUGCAGUGAAGCUUCGUUGGCUCCUUGAUAAUGUGAGAAAAAUUCAAAAGGCAGUUGAAGAAGAUAGAGCUCUUUUUGGGACCAUUGAUUCCUGGCUUAUUUGGAGCUUGACAGGAGGAGCCAGGGGAGGUGUUCAUUGUACAGACGUAACAAAUGCAAGUAGGACGAUGCUAUUCAACAUUCAUUCUUUGGAAUGGGAUAAAGAGCUCUGUGAAUUUUUUGAAGUUCCAAUGAAAAUUCUGCCAAACGUCCGGAGUUCUUCUGAGAUCUAUGGCCUAAUGAAAGCUGGGGCCUUGGAAGGCGUGCCAAUAUCUGGGUGUUUGGGAGACCAGUCUGCUGCAUUGGUGGGACAGAUGUGCUUCCAGGAUGGACAGGCCAAAAACACGUAUGGAACAGGCUGUUUCUUACUAUGUAAUACAGGCCACAAGUGUGUGUUUUCUGAACAUGGCCUUCUGACCACAGUGGCUUACAAACUUGGCAGAGACAAACCAGUGUAUUAUGCAUUAGAAGGCUCAGUAGCUAUAGCUGGUGCUGUUGUUCGCUGGCUAAGAGACAAUCUUGGAAUUAUAAAGACCUCAGAGGAAAUUGAAAAACUUGCUAAAGAAGUAGGUACUUCUUAUGGCUGUUAUUUUGUCCCAGCCUUUUCAGGGCUAUAUGCACCUUACUGGGAGCCCAGUGCAAGAGGGAUCAUCUGUGGGCUCACUCAAUUCACCAAUAAAUGCCAUAUUGCUUUUGCUGCGUUAGAAGCUGUUUGUUUCCAAACCCGAGAGAUUUUGGAUGCCAUGAACCGUGACUGUGGAAUUCCACUCAGCCAUUUGCAGGUAGAUGGGGGAAUGACCAACAACAAAAUUCUUAUGCAGCUACAAGCAGACAUUCUGUAUAUCCCAGUAGUGAAGCCCUCAAUGCCAGAAACAACCGCCUUGGGAGCUGCCAUGGCAGCAGGGGCUGCAGAAGGAGUUGGCGUUUGGAGUCUCAAACCUGAGGAUUUAUCAGCUGUCACGAUGGAGCGGUUUGAACCUCAGAUCAAUGCUAAAGAAAGUGAAAUUCGUUAUUCCACAUGGAAGAAAGCUGUGAAGAAGUCCAUGGGUUGGGUUACAACUCAGUAUCCAGAAAAUGGUGACCCUAGUAUCUUCAGUAGCCUACCCUUGGGCUUUUUUAUAGUGAGUAGUAUGGUAAUGUUAAUUGGAGCAAGGUACCUCUCAGGCGUGGCAUAAAUAAUACCAAUUCAUGGAUUCCAAAGAUGCAGGCUCUUUACGCAGUGGGAAAAUCCAGAAGUUCUGUCUUUUAAUGUGAUGACACUAUUCAAAGACUCUGAUUUUAUUUAUGAGCCACUUGCUGCAUGACCCUCCAGGUAGACCUGCGGCUUGAAAUAAAGAAAAUGCGGCAGAAAAAAAAAAGUGAUUUCUCAAUUAGGAAAAAGUCAGCAAAUUUUGCACACAAAAAGUCACAACUCGCCCUGAACUACCCAGGCAAUUGUUUUAAUCUAACUUUCUAUUAAAAUGUUGAAGUAAAAAGGGGCACGGUGGGGGGAUGGGUAGUCAGCUCUGUUGUGUUGCUAGAGGGAAUCUGAAACAGAUUCCCUCUAGCAAUGAUCUGACAGCUCCCUGCCACUUGGUAUUGGUCAACUAUGCAGUAAGUAAGAUUUCUAAAGAAAAUGUAGUGGGUGCUCACAGAAUGAGGCACAAUUUAGGAUCUGUUUAACACAUCAUAAUUGAAAUUUUUCAGUGGCAAGUCUUUAAGGUAAAAGACUUGAACCCUAAACACAACUUGCAAGGAUCUGGUUGCUUACCACCAUUUUUGCCUCAUCUCCCUCCCAUUUCUUCCUUGUUCCCUGAACUCCCAUUAUAUUGGUCUUCUUUGAGCUUCAGCCACAGGACCUUUGCACAUGUGCCUCCCCUUUCUCGGACUAGAUUAACUAUUACAAUUAAAGUGUAGCUUCUUCAGUAACCCUUCAGUCUAAGUCCUACAACCUUCCCGUUCAUUCAUAGAAGGGUUUCAUUUUGCAAUUACACACCCAAUUGUGUGGUUAUUUUUCUUAUGUUUGUCUUGUCCCCAUAAUUUGUGCUCUCUGAGAGCAAAAUCAAUGAAUGGCUUGGUUACUGGGUGUAUCUCUAGAGCCCAGAAUGAUCCCGGGCUCGUGGGAGACAGUAAGUGUCCUUCGAAUGAAUAAGUGAAAGGUUUCCAGGAUUCGUGUAGGAAUCUGAGACACAAAACCGAGGAAGCCCCAGAGUUUGAGGGUGGGGUGGAGAACAGAGACCAAUAAACAGAUGGGUACCAUCCUGUGCUUCCUCCAUCUGGCGGGAGAUCCCUGAACAAACCCUUUCCUAGCUGCAGACUUUUGGAGGAAGAGGUGGGUUUAAGGGCGGAUGCUGAAGCUGAGCACACAGUAAUCGAUCAGCUGAACAAUUGUCAGAGCCGGGUGGAGAUCCCAGUUCUCUGGCGAGGUUGCAGGAACCUGCGUUGCCGGGUUGGGGCAGGCUGCCAGCUGACCCCGCUCUCUGUCUCCUGUGCCCAGCGCGGCACGCUCUCGCCAGCGCCUGGGCGCGCCAGCCAAUGCGUCCCAGGCGCCGCAGCUGCUCCCCCGCCUCGGCGCGUGUGAUUGGCGGCCCCCAGCCUCAGCUCCGGCGCGCCCUCCCACCCGAGACCAAGUCCAGUCCGCGCCCACUCCCGAGUCGCCGCAGACGCCGCCGUCUCCUCUGCGCCUCGGUGCCCCACACCGGGCGGGAAGGCCGCGCACACCCCGGAGUCGCCACAAAACAGCAAGGUCCCAGGCGGCCGCGCUCGGAGCCAUUCUCGCCUCGGCCGGGCCAUGAAGGUCGAGUUUGCGCCGCUCAACAUCCCGCUGGCGCGGCGGCUGCAGACCGCGGCGGUGCUGCAGUGGGUCCUGUCUUUCCUGCUGCUCGGUGUGCCUUGGAAUCAUUGUACUUCUGAUCAUAUACAACUACUGGUUCCUCUAUAUCCCUUAUUUGACCUGGCUUUACUUUGACUGGCAAACCCCAGAGCAAGGAGGCAGGAGAUCAGACUGGGUCAGAAGCUGGACCAUUUGGAGGUACUUUAAAGACUAUUUUCCAAUUCAGCUCGUCAAAACUUGGGACUUGGAUCCAAGUCACAACUACAUAUUUGGGUUUCACCCCCAUGGAGUGCUGGUCGUUGGCGCCUUUGGAAACUUUUGUACAAAUUACUCGGAAUUCAAGGAACUGUUUCCUGGCUUUACUGCCUAUCUCCACGUGCUUCCAUUUUGGUUCCGGUGCCCUUUCUUCCGAGAAUAUCUGAUGAGUAGUGGGCCAGUCUCAGUUUCUAAGAAAAGUGUGUCCCAUGUGCUACGAAAGAAGGAGGUGGGAACAUUUCCGUCAUCGUGCUUGGGGGGCAGAAGAAUCCCUGGAUGCCCAUCCCGGAAAGUUCACUCUGUUCAUCCGCCAGCGGAAGGGAUUUGUGAAAAUGGCCUUGACCCAUGGUGCUUAUUUGGUGCCCGUGUUUUCUUUUGGUGAAAAUGAGCUGUUUAAACAAAUUAGCAACCCUGAAGGCUCCUGGCUUCGAACUGUGCAGGAGAAACUACAGAAGAUCAUGGGGUUUGCUUUGCCACUGUUCCAUGCCAGAGGAAUUUUUCAAUACAAUUUUGGCCUGAUGCCCUAUAGGAAACCCAUCCAUACUGUUGUGGGCCGCCCCAUCCCUGUUCCUCAGACCCUGCACCCAACCUCAGAGCAGAUUGAAGAGUUGCAUCAGACCUACAUGGAGGAGCUAAGGAAAUUAUUUGAGGCGCACAAAGGGAAAUACGGUAUUCCAGAGCAUGAAACUCUCAUUUUUAGAUAACUCUUCUCUUAGACGCAUACAAGAGGGCUAGAGAACAUCGCUUUGCAAGAACAAAUAAUUUAAAUAAGUUACUUUUUUCUUUGACUGUGCAAUCAGAUUUGUAACUGAGAGAUAUUUUGUAUGGUGACAGAUGUUGGUUUUUGUCUGUGGUAACUAAAAAUCCGGUGGGCGACUGUAUGGUAAAGUUGGAGAUGAUUGCAGCCUUUUCAAAAGUCUUCUUUCUGGAGGAAGAUAAAACUUGUUUUACAAGUUAAGAAAAGGUUUAUAAUUAUACAUGUGCUUUAAAAAAAUGGCAGCUUCAAAAAAGAAUUAGACUCUUUUACUAAAUAUCACAAUAAUUUAAUGUGGUUUUGCUGAGUACAACAGCUGUUGUUUAGCACAGCUGGAACAUUUACGAAACAGUAUGUAAAAUAAUUUGCCAUGUAGAGCUAGAGGCAUUUUUUUUUUUUUCCUGCUUGAACAGACCACUCGUUAGCCAGUAAUAUGACUUUAAGACUUAGUUCAUUUGGUCCUUUAGGUCAUAUCAACCAAUGCAUUUUUACACAAUAUUACAGAGGUUUUUUUUUUUUGCCAUUUUGGAAAUGGACUGAAUCUACCGUAUGGAAACCCAUGUGGAGAGGACUAUGUCUUCUCUCUUCUAAUCAUAUUUAGAAAUACUCAUCCUUGUCAUUUUCUUAGAAAUACAUUCACUUACUACAGGCAAAGAGGUCUCUUGGAGGACAUGCUUUUGACAUGUUUAAGACUUGAAAUUCCAAAAGAUUUUCACGGUAAUAGAAAUGGUUUUAAUUUUCUUCCCUUAAGGCCUCUUCCGGUAAGGUGAGCUCUGAGAGAAAGUGCCCGCUCUAGUGAGAUGUGACUGGUUCAUGGCUGACACAGGUUACAUGAUUCUCCUGGGAACCAGAACGUUAGGUCCAAGAGAGCGUGAGUCUUCCCUUCUGUUCCCUGAUGUCCCCCAGGGCCUGGGUCAGCUCGUGACGCUUGGUAGACAUGAAAUAAGUCCUUGUUUCAUGAAUGUAUUCCUAGGUGAACACAUAAGCUUUGCCAGGAGGUGAUGUGUCUUUAAAGCUAUGCUAUAGGAUGCCACCAAUUCUAGGAAAAGACCCAUUUUGAGGAGAUAACUUGCUAGGGCUGAUGGUCCCAUGCCAGUACUUGACAAUGCCGCAGGUUAGUUUCUCAGGAGCAAGUCAGAAGGAGGUUGCUGAGACUCAGUCUCUAAGCCUUAGGUAAUUAAUUAUUCAAUAAGUAAGAGAAUGUCUAGUUUCCCAAUCAUCUCCUCCAUUCUCCAUAUCUGGGGGCAACUACCUUGAGUUGUUAUAACUUAUUGGUAAUAUGUGUUAAAGCCCCUGAUUUUUAAAACAUCAAGCCAUGGGCUAGAGCCCAAAUAGGGUUUAGCAACAGUAAAACAGACUCAUGCUGGGUAAUGUCUUGAGUAGAAAAGGAUUUCACACACAAAAAAGUGAACCUUCUCAAUUGUUCCAUAUAGGACUUUUUGGCCAGCAUCCCUCUGGCUUCAUGUUGUAGAGCAGUCCAGGAGUCCAUUGACCCAUGGCCUUAAAAAGACAAAAAAAAUUUUUUUUUUUUGGUCAAAGCAGGAAAUAGGACACAUUUUGGUAGAUGUGGCUAAUUUGACUAUAAGUCCUUUGGGGUAUUACUCAAUACCAAACAAAUGUAAAAGAAGCUCCACUUACAUAAAAUUAUACCCUAGCUGGUCACAAGACAGUAUUUCAGAAGACUCUGUGGCCCAGAUAACCACAGCAACUAAAGGCCUUUAUAUAAUUAUAAAACCCAUGAUUUUCAUUCCUUUGGAGCAGUUUAUGAAAAUCUCAUGACACAGUCUUUUCGCAGUUUCGCAAAGGUAUGACUUUUAAUCUCACACUCAGUAGUGUCAGGGCCUGACUGACCACUAACUUCCACUGCAUCACCUAGAAAACAGUGAAAGCCCAUAUAGGGUAAAGCAGAGGCACUGAAAAAUGCGAAAAGUUCUGCUCUGAUGAAUUUAUCUAGAAUUUUGCCAUUACAAAAUCUAGACAUCAGCAACUUUAAUUCUUGGCCUGCACAAAAUCUUAUUUUUAAGUACGUAUUAGGGAGUUUACCUCUUCCUUUCUUAGGGUCUCCAAAGGUCUAAAUCCAGCCAGGCCAAGAAGUCCUUUCAUACAUUUUUUUCUUUUUUUUGUAUCUUCUAGGGCUGCACCCGAGGCAUAUGGUGGUUCCCAGGCUAGGGGUCUAAUCAGAGCUACAGCUGCUGGCCUUCGCCAGAGCCACAGCAACUUGGGAUCUGAACCGCAUCUGCAACCUACACCACAGCUCAUGGCAAUGCCAGAUCCUUAACCCACUGAGCGAGGCCAGGGAUUGAACCCUCAAGCUCAUGGUUCCUAGUUGGAUUUGUUAACCACUGAGCCAUGAUGGGAACUCCCUAGAAGUCCUUUCAUAAACUCAAAGCAUCAGUUCCAUAUAGUCCUACAGGUUGCAAACGAAUGUUCUGAAUUUUUGCUGCAACAUAAACGUGAGUCAUGAAUUGCAUUUAGUAGUAUAUUUUGAUGGAGCUCUCCAUUUUAAAGGUUCUCUUCUAAUCUGUAAUUGCAUAUAAAAUUUAAACAGUAAAACAAUGACACCAAAACAACAACAAAAAUAACCUCAGAACACCGGGAGAGAAGCUGGGCCGGGAGAGAAAUUGUGCAUUUAUGCUGUCGGAUUUGGACAUUUCUUUCUCCUGUGUUUCCUUUGCACACUGGGUGCAGGCUGAGUCAUUUCCUUUGUCUUGCAGCUAGAAAUCUUGAAGUUGUCUCUACCCUGCCAGGUCUAUUACACUCACAAGAAAGCUGCAGCUUUGGUGCUUGGGAAAGCCAGCCAGUUUCGCUCUGACCCACGGGGAACCAGGAUGAGGGAUGUUUUGUGAUUUAUACAAACUCUUCACCAUGACCGUGAAAACAAUCAAAGUCUGUCUACUUCAGGGACAUCUGUGACUUUAUUGUGAGUGUCGGGUUAUGUGUAAAACCCCUACUUUCCUCAAGUUACACUUCUGUCCUGGGAAGCUCAGGAAGUGGAGUCUGGAUUCAUUGUCCUUAUUUCCAUAACUUUACCUUGAUUCCAAACUACCUCACUGGUGCAGAUCACCAAGUUUGUGAUAAAUACGAAAAUAAGUGUGGGGUGUGUUAACCUCUGUCUUCUUUUCCUCUAAAAUAAGAGACAGUAUUGAUGGGCUUUGUCAUUUGGUUGGUUUUUGCCAACAGCCCAAGGUUGCUCGUUCUCACAUUUGUUUUUAAAACUAAGUGAUAAAAUAUCUAUUUGUGGGGCUGGGAGAGUUCCUUCAAAUAGAAUUUGAGUAUCUUUUUAGAGGAGAAAAACCAGGCACCUUCAAAACAACCAGCUAGUUACUCUGGUUUGUCUAGGGUAGCAAACACAGCAGCAGUUCUUGAUGCUUGAAACAAAGGGAUUUCUCUAAUGCCUUAUAUUUUAGUUAUUUUAAUGGCUCCUUCCCAAACACCUUCAGCUUGGUGCCUUACUAUCUUAUAUAAGAAGAAAGUUGAUCUCAAUCCAUAGAUCAGUCAUGGGAUGGUGAGUUCCUCCUGGCAGAAUCGCUGUCUUGUGUGAGUUUUGAUCCUGGCCCCGAGAGGAUAGACUUUCAUGCCUCUCCAUGAAUGCUUGUGGCACUAACCUGGCAGUUUGAUGGACGGUGCCAUGGAAGCCAAAUUUGAGAGUCGGAAGGGAUGUCAUAGCCUGUCAGUUAUUCCUUCUGCUGAUGAAGCGGUUGAACCCCAGUGAGGUUUAAUAUGGAUUGGAACUAACUUCGUGUUAUAGAUUAAACAGGAGGUCCUGCUCUCCCAUGACUGUUGAUUAAUCAACCAACAAUCCUCCUAUAAAGCGAAAGUAUCAAAAACAGAGUACAAUAAAAAACAACACGUAAGGCAGCAAACUCUGUAUUAUUGAGAUUGAGGCUAUUUUUCUUUCUUGAGAUCAGUACACGGCAUUGUUGAUUUUCCCUUAUGCAAGAGCUAUUUUGGGGAUACAGCCUGGGCAAAGUCCAAGAUUCCAACAACACGCUUAGCCACUGAAGCCUUAUAUAUCAGAGCAGCAGGGUAGGGCAAGGUGCCUCCUGCCUAGGGAGAGUGACAGACCUUGCCAGAGUCUUUCCUCUCAGCUGUGUUGCUAUCAUUAAUGUCACCAAAGUAACCCCACUACUCAUACAAAGGUGCAAGCAGAGCUUCUGUCACCUAUGGACAGCCCCAAGUCCAGAGACAUUCUGGAUCCAGCCUUAUUUAGUUGCAUUGUCAUAGCUGCUUUAAAAAAUUUUUUAAAAUAGCUCUUAGAUUCUGGUUAAGAAUGAUCUUAGGCUCUCUUGAGAAUAAAGAUAAAUCUUCCUUUUGUUGUAUUCCCAAGGAGUGUGUGUUUCUUUCCUAUUCCAUUUGCAGACCAACUUGGAGCCUGGUAGGAUUUCUUCUUUUUUUGUUGUUGUUGUUGGUCUUUUUAGGGUCACACAUGUAGCAUAUGGAAAUUCCCAGGCUAGGGAUCUAAUUGGAGCUGCAGCUGCCUGCCUACACCACAGCCACAGCAAUGCUGGAUCCAAGUCGCAUCUGCAACAUACUACAGCUCAUGGUGAAGCUGGAUCCUUAACCCACUGAAGGAGACCAGGGAUCGAACCUACAUCCUCAUGGAUGGGUUCAUUACUGCUGAACCAUGACAGGAACUCCUCUGGUUGGAUUUUAAACCCUCUUUUAUGGGUUGACACGACCAGAGAAAACUCCAGCCUUUUCUACUUCUCAGGCUUCUGUGUUCAAAUCAUCCUUCAGCCUCUGGACUUGCCCUAACUGGCCCAGUGACCUGGACCCAGGGGCUUCCUACGUAAAUAGAGUUAGGAGUGAACCGUCUCCAAGAUUUCUUCUGGCUCUGUCUCUAUGGUCACUGCCUGGCUUUUUCUGCCAUGGUAAUGACAUCUGGCUGGAGAUUUAUCUGGUGACUUUUCCUUUUCCUGUACCCUCCUCACUCGUGUUCCUCCAAGACAUGCAGUGAGUUCAAAUGAUUAUCUGACUUUCUUGGUAUUUUUCUAAGGAAAUAACUUACAUCUCUAAGUAAAAAUAGAAAAUUCUCCAAGAGCCUGCCUCCUUUAUAGUAUUCAAAACUAAGGAAUAACCGUUUGAUACUUGUUAACCUCUUUGUAGGAGAUGGUGGUGAAGUUUUCUGUUUUCUAUAUUGUAUGUGUGGCUGUGCACUUUUUGAAAGCUCUCGGUUUGUAAAGUUUUGACCAAUAAAUGUGUUCUGCGCCC